rnacentral:rRNA from 1 species
CCUACGGGGGGCAGCAGUGAGGAAUCUUCGUCAAUGGACGCAAGUCUGAACCAGCCACGCCGCGUGCAGGAAGACGGCUCUAUGAGUUGUAAACUGCUUUUGUACGAGGGUAAACGCAGAUACGCGGAUCUGUCUGAAAGUAUCGUACGAAUAAGGAUCGGCUAACUCCGUGCCAGCAGCCGCGGUAAUACGGAGGAUUCAAGCGUUAUCCGGAUUUAUUGGGUUUAAAGGGUGCGUAGGCGGUCGGAUAAGUUAGAGGUGAAAGCCCGAGGCUUAACUUCGGGAUUGCCUCUGAUACUGUUCGGCUAGAGAGUAGGUGCGGUAGGCGGAAUGUAUGGUGUAGCGGUGAAAUGCUUAGAGAUAAUGCAGAACACCGAUUGCGAAGGCAGCUUACCAAGCUACUUCUGACGUUGAGGCACGAAAGCGUGGGGAGCAAACAGGAUUAGAUACCCUUGUAGUC